rfam:Stegodyphus mimosarum contig117399, whole genome shotgun sequence.
GCCUUAGUGGUGUAAUGGGCAGCACAUUCGGCCCGUAUUCGAGAGGUCCGAGGUUCGACUCUCGGUGAGGGCA